rnacentral:rRNA from 1 species
AUUGAACGCUGGCGGCAGGCCUAACACAUGCAAGUCGAGCGGUAGCACAGGGAGCUUGCUCCUGGGUGACGAGCGGCGGACGGGUGAGUAAUGUCUGGGAAACUGCCUGAUGGAGGGGGAUAACUACUGGAAACGGUAGCUAAUACCGCAUAACGUCGCAAGACCAAAGAGGGGGACCUUCGGGCCUCUUGCCAUCAGAUGUGCCCAGAUGGGAUUAGCUAGUAGGUGGGGUAACGGCUCACCUAGGCGACGAUCCCUAGCUGGUCUGAGAGGAUGACCGGCAACACUGGAACUGGGACACGGUCCAGACUCCUACGGGAGGCAGCAGUGGGGAAUAUUGCACAAUGGGCGCAAGCCUGAUGCAGCCAUGCCGCGUGUAUGAAGAAGGCCUUCGGGUUGUAAAGUACUUUCAGCGGGGAGGAAGGUGUUGAGGUUAAUAACCUCAGCAAUUGACGUUACCCGCAGAAGAAGCACCGGCUAACUCCGUGCCAGCCGCCGCGGUAA